rnacentral:rRNA from 1 species
ACGGGGAGCAGCAGGCGCGAAACCUUUACACUGCACGACAGUGCGAUAAGGGGACCCCGAGUGCGAGGGCAUACAGUCCUUGCUUUUCGUGACCGUAAGGAGGUCACAGAAUAAGGGCUGGGCAAGACCGGUGCCAGCCGCCGCGGUAAUACCGGCAGCCCGAGUGAUAGCCACUAUUAUUGGGCCUAAAGCGUCCGUAGCCGGCCGAACGGGUCCGUCGGGAAAUCCACCCGCUCAACGAGUGGACGUCCGGCGGAAACCAGUCGGCUUGGGGCCGGGAGACCAGAGAGGUACGUCCGGGGUAGGAGUGAAAUCCUGUAAUCCUGGACGGACCGCCGGUAGCGAAAGCGUCUCUGGAGAACGGACCCGACGGUGAGGGACGAAAGCUUGGGUCUCGAACCGGAUUAGAUACCCGGGUAGUCCUAGCUGUAAACGAUGCUCGCUAGGUGCGGCGCAGGCUACGAGCCUGCGCUGCGCCGUAGGGAAGCCGAGAAGCGAGCCGCCUGGGAAGUACGUCCGCAAGGAUGAAACUUAAAGGAAUUGGCGGGGGAGCAC